AUAUACAUAUAAGUAAGUAAAUAAUAGAUUUGAAAUAAUUAUAAAAUAGAAUUAACGAGAUAAUCAUGGAUUAUACAAUAUCAUUAUAAAUGAUAAAGUUAUUAAUAGAUAUAGGUUACUAAUUAAUUAAAUAAUAAAUUAUAAAACCUAAGGGAAACCUAAUUUAAAAAUAUACUAAGUGAACUGAAACAUCUAAGUAACUUAAGGAUAAGAAAUCAACAGAGAUAUUAUAAGUAUUGGUGAGAGAAAGUAAUAUAUAGUUCUUCCCGUUUUAUACGGGAAGGAACGAAAGUCAAUAAAGUAUUAUGUAUAAUAAAUAUAAGAACAUAACAUUUAUUAUAAUAAAAUAUAAUAAAUAAUAAGGAUUAACAAAUUCUAAGACUAAAUACUAUUAAUAAAUAUAAAGAGUACCGUAAGGGAAAAUAUGAAAUGGUUAUUUUAUAAGCAAUCAUAUCAUUUUAAAUAAAUGAAAUGAUGUACCUUUUGUAUAAUGGGUCAGCAAGUUAUUAAUAAUUGCAAAAUAAAUACAUUAUAUAUAAAUAAAAUUAAAAUGUUAAUAAAUAAAUUAAUUAAAAUGUAAGAGUAUUAUCCGAGCUUCAGGCAUGGAAAGGUAACCUUACUAGGCGAGAGUAAAUAUUAAUAGACCCGAAAGCAGAUGAUCUUACCUUGAUAAGAUGAAUAACGAUCGAACAAGUUGAUGUAGCAAAAUCAUUUGAAUAAUUGAGGUAAGUAAGUGAAAGACAAAUCUGAUCUGCAGAUAGCUGGUUUUCUAUGAAAUAUAUGUAAGUAUAGCCUUUAUAUAAAUAUAAUAUUUUAUUAAUAAAUUAAUAAAAGGAUGGUAUAGCAAUUAAUAUAUUUUCGUAAAUCGAAAAGUUCCCCUGCUUCCGCAGGAAGCUGCGGGGACCCCAGGAGGGAGUAUUAAAUCUCAAAAUAUUAUAUUAUAUGAAUAUAAAGAGUCAGAUUAUGUGCGAUAAGGUAAAUAAUCUAAAGGGAAACAGCCCAGAUUAAGAUAUAAAGUUCCAAAUUAAUAUUAAGUGAAAAUAAUAUUAAAAUAUUAAAAUAUAAUCAGUUAAUGGGUUUGACAAUAACCAUUUUUUAAUGAACAUGUAACAAUGCACUGAUAAAUAAUUAAUGAUAUUUAAAAUCAUAUAUAUAAUAAUAUAUAUAUAUGUUAAUAAAUAAUAUACGGAUCUAAUAAAAAUAUUAAACUGAAUAUCUAAAUAUUAUAUAUAAUAAGUAUAAUAUGGUAAUAGAACAUUUAAUGAAGAGAUAUAUUAAUUAAUAAUUAAUAUAUAUUAUAAUAAUUAAAUAGAGAAUGCUGACAUGAGUAACGUUAAAAAAGUAUAAACUUUUUCACCUAAAGCAUAAGGUUUUACUAUAAAAGUACGGCCCCUAAUAUAGAAAUAUCUAAAGAUAUAUAUAGAUGGGAUAAUCUAAUUUAAUAAUUAAAAAUCAAAUAAAUAUAUAUAUUAAAUAUAUAUUAAAUUGAUCAGGAAAAGUAAUUAAAUAAUACCGUAAUGAAGACCGACUCAGGUAUGUUAGUAGAGAAUAUGAAGGUGUAUUGGAUAAUUAAGGAUAAGGAACUCGGCAAAAAUAGAUCUAAAAUUAGAGAGGAUUAAUAAGAACAAGGUUGUACAACUGUUUAAUAAAAACACAGCACUUUGCAGAAAUGAUAAAUUAAAGUAUAAGGUGUGAACUCUGCUCCAUGUUCAUUAUAUAAAUAAUAAAUUUGAAAGAAUAUAUUAAUAAAUAUGAAUAAAUAGCAGCCUUAUUAUGAGGGUUAUAAUGUAGCGAAAUACCUUGGCCACUAAAUAUGGUCCCGCAUGAAUGACGUAAUGAUACAACAACUGUCUCAUCCUUAAGCCAAGUGAAAUUGAAAUGGUAGUGAAGAUGCUAUCUAGGUAUAGUUAGACAAAAAGACCCUAUGCAGCUUUACUAUAGUUAGAUAACUUGAUUAAUUAUUAAUUAUAUUCAGAAUAUUAAGUAAUUGAUUAAAUAUAAUAUGAGAUACUUAUUUUAAUUAUAUAAUUAUUCUUAUCCAUAUAAAUAAUUAUUUAUAUAAUAAUAUAUAAAUAUAAUGGAGACAGGUUCUAAUUGGUAGUUUGAAUGGGAUGUUCUUUUCAGCAAAUUUAUCUGAUAAAGUCCAUAUAUAAUAAAUUAAUAAAAUAAAUUAAAAUAUAUAUUAUAUAUAUUAAAUAUAAAAAUAUUAAUCUUAAAAAUUAAUAAAUAAUAGAUUAAAUAAUGUAUAGUUAAAUUAUCAAGAAAAUAAUAAUAAUAAUCAAUUUAAAGAUUAUAAUAAAUAAAUAUAAUAGUAUAACUAUGCUAUAAUUGUAAUACAAACAAGUAAAACAAGUACGUAAGUAUGGUAUAAUGAACAAAUAAUACUGAUUGUAAGGAUUAUUGAUAACGAAUAAAAGUUACGCUAGGGAUAACAGGGUAAUAUAACGAAAGAGUAGAAAUUGUAAGUUAUGUUUGCCACCUCGAUGUCGACUCAACCUAUCCUCUUGGUUGUAACAGCUAAGAAGGGUUUGACUGUUCGUCAAUUAAAAGGUUACGUGAGUUGGGUUAAAUACGAUGUGAAUCAGUAUGGUUUUUAUCUACUAUAUCUAAUAUUAUCAAAUUAAAUCUCAUUAUUAGUACGCAAGGAUCAUAAUGAAUUAACCUAUGGUGUAAUUAUUAAUUAUUAAUAUAAUUAUAUUAAUUGUUAUUGUAAUUAAGCUAAGUUAAUAAAUAAUAAAUAUUGAAUACAUAUUAAAUAUGAAGUAGUUUUAAUUAGAUAAAUAUAUUGAUCAUUUUAUACUAAAAUGAAUUUAGUAUUUGGUUAUAUCUUAACCAUCCUCCAUUUGGAGAUAACUAAUUAAUCAAUAAUCUAUUUUAUAUCUAAUCUAUUAUUUACUACUC
rnacentral:rRNA from 1 species